rnacentral:rRNA from 1 species
GACGAACGCUGGCGGCGUGCUUAACACAUGCAAGUCGAACGGAAAGGCCCUGCUUUUGUGGGGUGCUAGAGUGGCGAACGGGUGAGUAACACGUGAGUAACCUGCCCUUGACUUUGGGAUAACUUCAGGAAACUGGGGCUAAUACCGGAUAGGAGCUCCUGCUGCAUGGUGGGGGUUGGAAAGUUUCGGCGGUUGGGGAUGGACUCGCGGCUUAUCAGCUUGUUGGUGGGGUAGUGGCUUACCAAGGCUUUGACGGGUAGCCGGCCUGAGAGGGUGACCGGCCACAUUGGGACUGAGAUACGGCUCAGACUCCUACGGGAGGCAGCAGUGGGGAAUAUUGCACAAUGGGCGGAAGCCUGAUGCAGCAACGCCGCGUGCGGGAUGACGGCCUUCGGGUUGUAAACCGCUUUCGCCUGUGACGAAGCGUGAGUGACGGUAAUGGGUAAAGAAGCACCGGCUAACUACGUG